ACUACCAGUGUCUGUCUGACUGUGGCUAUCGCCCUGCAUGGCCAUGAGAUGUGCGUGACUCACUCCGGAGAGGCAAGCUCCUGUACAAAUUGACCGUUCACGGUCUUAGUUCUGAACUGCCUUUCUGGACGCUUCUUUCUGUUUCUCUCUACUUUUGACGCUCUGAGCUAGCAAGUCUGAUGUCCUUCUGUUCCCUAGUCUAGGUCUGGGCUUGAUGUUCACCAAUUUUCCCUCAGGUCCGACUGUGGCUUCUCUCAGCAGACUCUGAUCCUGCUCUCAGCUGGGCUGCAUCUGCCCAUCUCAGCACAUCGAUAAACAACAGAGGCAAACUACCACCUUGGAGGAAGCCAGGCAGUGUCUGCUGGGCAGGACGCAGCCGGGAGCAUGGAAGUCGCUUCUUCCAUCCUCCACUGGAAACCACCCAGCAUCCUGGGCCCUCCAGAGAGGAGCCAGACUCCCUCUGGCAAGAGACUAUAGUCCUAUCUGUAUCCUCCGUGGUCACUGCCCCUCAGUCACAGCAAUGAAGAGCAAAUUACCUGUUUUCUGUAUGUUCCUCCGACAACAACUCACACAGAGUAAAUAUGAAAGGUUCUGGAUGAUUCGUUGUCAGCUUUUAUUAAAAUUCCACAUACUUGGC